GGAGAAACAAAGCUUGUUUAGAUUGCUUAGCUUUUAUGGCAUUUGCUGACAAAACAGACGUGGUGAGAUAAAGCACUUUGUAUUAUGUGUUAGGGAUAGCUUAAGACAUUUUAACACUGUAGAAAAAACACGCUUCUUUUUUUUUUACACCAGCAGCUGACUGUGCUCUUGAGAGAUGGGGCGGAAUGGAGAAAAGUAACAGCAGAAAUGUUAGGAAUGGAAGUUAAAGGUUGAGAAUUCAAGAGGACUGCAGAUUCACAGGAGUUCCCACAAUACAUAUAACAGAGAGAAAGAAUGAAGCAGCAGCAACAGAGGAUUAAAGAAGCUUCUAAAUUGAUCUCAAAAUAAGUCGAAUCAAUCCAUCAGUUGUAUUGCCUGCAGGCAUCUUUAAAAUCUGAAAGAAAGACUGUAUAAUUGCUAUGAUGUAAAGCUGGAUGGUUUCGUUUGUUGCUUCUUUAGCAAGUUCCAGGUUUUCGCUUGUAAUGGCCUACAGCACUACUGCAGGCUUCCUGAUGGAGAAACAAAUUUGUGCCAGCUUGCUGAAUAACCUCCGUAAUGUUCAGCCGAUCAGAACUUCUCCAUCUGUGUGUCCAUCCAUCCAAAGAACCAGAUGCUCUGAAAAACACUUCAUCCACCCCUCCUGAUGCAUCCAUAUCUGAAAUAUGUUGCUACCAUAACUGCAGUUUUCAGCCCUACAAGCAAAGCCAGCUAUUGACCUAUCUGGAGCUCUCAAUUGUUUAGUCACCUGCUCAGAGAAAAUGAAAUCACUAACUGGGAGCAUCAAUAAUAAAAACUCAUAGAAAGAAACCAUUUCACCAAGGCCUAAGUCCAGACAAUAACUGGAUUUCACCAGGAUGGGAAGCUAAGAUAAAUAUUCCGUGAUGCAAGCACUGGAACUUCUGCUUUGGGCAAUUAUUUACUGCUGAAACAUCUGCAUAAGCUGAAGUUACUGACUCCCAACUGUUUGUUACCAUUACUCCUCUGCCAAAAAUUGCUACCCCAUAGAACAUGGUGUUGCUCAGCCAGUAGAAUGGAUCACAUAGGCAUUCCCUGCCUCAUCUGUUUCAGUA
ensembl:lncRNA